UAGUCAUAUGCUUGUCUCAAAGACUAAGCCAUGCAUGUGUUAGUAUGAACUGAAAUUAUAUUGUGAAACUGCGAAUGGCUCAUUAAAUCAGUUAUAGUUUCUUUGAUGGAUACGCGUUCAGCACUACAUGGAAUAACUGUAGUAACAUAGAGCUAAUACAUGCAUAAGAAUCUGACUUUACGGAAGGAUUUGCACUUAUUAGAUACCAAACCAAUAUCCUUUCGGGGAUUUUAUUGGUGAAUCACAAUAACUGAACAAAUCGCAUGGUCUUGUACUGGCGAUGUAUCAAUCAAGUUUCUGCCCUAUCAACUUGAUGUUAGUGUAUUGUACUAACAUGGUGAUAACGGGUAACAGAGGAUUAGGGUUCGAUCCUGGAGAAGGAGCAUGAGAAAUGGCUACUAUUUCUAAGGAAAGCAGCAGGCGCGUAAAUUAUUCAAUGGGAAUAUCUUCCCGAAAUAGUGACAAAAAAUACCGAUGUAUAAAACUUAGUUUUGUACAAUUGGAAUGGAAACAAUCCAAACCCCUUAUUGAGUAACAAUU
rnacentral:rRNA from 1 species